rnacentral:rRNA from 1 species
GUGCCAGCAGCCGCGGUAAUACGAAGGGGGCUAGCGUUGUUCGGAAUUACUGGGCGUAAAGCGCACGUAGGCGGGUCGUUAAGUCAGGGGUGAAAUCCCAGAGCUCAACUCUGGAACUGCCUUUGAUACUGGCGACCUAGAGUUCGGAAGAGGUUAGUGGAAUUCCCAGUGUAGAGGUGAAAUUCGUAGAUAUUGGGAAGAACACCAGUGGCGAAGGCGGCUAACUGGUCCGAUACUGACGCUGAGGUGCGAAAGCGUGGGGAGCAAACAGGAUUAGAAACCCUCGUAGUCC